GAUUAACGCUGGCGGCGUGCCUAACACAUGCAAGUCGAACGAUGAAACUCAUUAGAUUUCUUCGGAAUGAAAAUGAAUGGAUUAGUGGCGAACGGGUGAGUAACGCGUGAGUAACCUGCCUUACACAAGGGGAUAGCCUCUGGAAACGGAGAAUAAUACCCUAUGAAACCAGACAAUCGCAUGAUAAUCUGGUCAAAAUGUUUAGUGGUGUAAGAUGGACUUGCGUCUGAUUAGCUAGUUGGUGAGAUAAAAGCUCACCAAGGCAACGAUCAGUAGCCGGCUUGAGAGAGUGUACGGCCACAUUGGGACUGAGACACGGCCCAGACUCCUACGGGAGGCAGCAGGGGGGAAUUUUGCACAAUGGGGGAAACCCUGAUGCAGCGACGCCGCGUGAUUUAGAAGGCCUUCGGGUUGUAAAAAUCUUUUGUAUAGGAAGAAAAUGACAGUACUAUACGAAUAAGGUCCGGCUAAUUACGUG
rnacentral:rRNA from 1 species